GAUGGGUCUCCUCCAUCCCAAGGUAAUAUACACAUUGCCUUUACAAUAAAAUGGCCUAGAUAUGGUAAAAGAUUGUGGCAGAUCAGUAAUUGAACCUAUAAUAACAACUGCUAAGCCAUAAUCUCAAACUAGUUGAGACAGCAAUUGAACCUACAUGAAGUUAAAAUCAUUUUGGUUUCUCUUGAAAUUUGAGAUGAGUCAUUAUAAAGUUUACUUAUAUUUUGUGUUUUCUUUCUCAAUAAAAAUUCUCAAUCAGGAAAAUUUGGGUUAUG
rnacentral:misc_RNA from 1 species